rnacentral:rRNA from 1 species
UUGGAGGGCAAGUCUGGUGCCAGCAGCCGCGGUAAUUCCAGCUCCAAUAGCGUAUAUUAAAGUUGUUGCAGUUAAAAAGCUCGUAGUUGAAUUUCGGGAUCAGAGUGUCGGUCGUGCCUCGGUACGCACUGGUAUUAUUGGUUCCUACCUUCUGAAGAACCGCGAUGUCAUUAAUUUGGUGUCGUGGGGAAUCAGGACUGCUACUUUGAAAAAAUUAGAGUGUUUAAAGCAGGCUUACGCUUGAAUACAUUAGCAUGGAAUAAUGAAAUAGGACGUUUGAUUCUAUUUUGUUGGUUUCUAGGAUUGACGUAAUGAUUAAUAGGGAUAGUUGGGGGCAUUAGUAUUCAAUUGUCAGAGGUGAAAUUCUUGGAUUUAUUGAAGACUAACUACUGCGAAAGCAUUUGCCAAGGAUGUUUUCAUUAAUCAAGAACGAAAGUUAGGGGAUCGAAGACGAUCAGAUACCGUCGUAGUCUUAACCAUAAACUAUGCCGACUAGGGAUCGGAUGAUGUUAAUUUUUUAAUGACUCAUUCGGCGCCUUACGGGAAAC